AUUGAACGCUGGCGGCAGGCCUAACACAUGCAAGUCGAGCGGAUGAGGGAAGCUUGCUUCCCGAUUUAGCGGCGGACGGGUGAGUAAUGCCUAGGAAUCUGCCUAUUAGUGGGGGAUAACGUUCCGAAAGGAACGCUAAUACCGCAUACGUCCUACGGGAGAAAGUGGGGGAUCUUCGGACCUCACGCUAAUAGAUGAGCCUAGGUCGGUAUUAGCUAGUUGGUGGGGUAACGGCUCACCAAGGCGACGAUCCGUAGCUGGUCUGAGAGGAUGAUCAGCCACACUGGAACUGAGACACGGUCCAGACUCCUACGGGAGGCAGCAGUGGGGAAUAUUGGACAAUGGGCGAAAGCCUGAUCCAGCCAUACCGCGUGUGUGAAGAAGGUCUUCGGAUUGUAAAGCACUUUAAGUUGGGAGGAAGAGUUGUAAGCUAAUAUCUUGCAGCUUUGACGUUACCAACAGAAUAAGCACCGGCUAACUCUGUGCCAGCCGCCGCCGUAAUAC
rnacentral:rRNA from 1 species